rnacentral:rRNA from 1 species
AUUGAACGCUGGCGGCAGGCCUAACACAUGCAAGUCGAACGAGUGGCGGACGGGUGAGUAAUGUCUGGGAAACUGCCUGAUGGCGGGGGAGAACUACUGGAAACGGUAGCUAAUACCGAAUACCAUCGGCGGUGCCCAGAUGGGAUUAGCGAGUAGGUGGGGUAAAGGCUCAACAAGGCGACGAUCCCUAGCUGGUCUGAGAGGAGGACCAGCAACACUGGACCUGGGACACGGCCCGGACUCCUACGGGAGGCAGCAGUGGGAAAUAUUGCACAAUGGGCGCAAGCCUGAUGAAGCCAUGCCGCGUGUGUGAAGAAGGCCUUCGGUUUGUAAAGUACUUUCAGCGGGGAGGCGUUACCCGCAGAAGAAGCACCGGCUAACUCCGUGCCAGCAGCCGCGGUAAUUC